AGAGUUCAAGAGUACGUGAAACCGUUUAGGGGUAAACCUGAGAAAUCCGAAAGGUCGAAGGGAGAAAUUCAUUCGCGUUUCGCCUUCGGCGUGAGACGGUCGUGUGACGGGAAAACGUUCGCGUUUUCCGCGCCUUCCGUUUUUCGAUCCGAUAGCGAACGCGUGCACUUUUCUCCUGGUAGGACGUCGCGAUCCGUUGGGUGUCGGUYUACGGCUCGCGGUGGAGCCCGGACACACGGCUUGCCGUCGCGUCCGGACCCGCGUGUCCCGGCUGACUCGCUCGACGGUAUACGAAAGGUUUAAGGCCGCUCCUCGGAGCGUUCGGCUCGUCGCAAGCGCGCCAGAUGUGUCGGUGAUCGGACCUGGUGCCGGUUCUGACCUCUGGUGACUGUUGGCGACGAAGUUUUCGAACAGACCUUUGACCGAUCUGCGACGCUAUAGCUUUGGAUACUUUCAGGACCCGUCUUGAAACACGGACCAAGGAGUYUAGCAUGUACGCGAGUCAUUGGGAAUCACUAAACCUAAAGGCGUAAUGAAAGUAAAGGUCCGCCUCGCGCGGACUCAGGGAGGACGGGCGGUUUACCCUUAAAAGUGGCCGCUCCGCACUCCCGGGGCGUCUCAUUCUCAUCGCGAGAAGAGGCGCACCAAGAGCGUACACGCUGGGACCCGAAAGAUGGUGAACUAUGCCUGGUCAGGACGAAGUCAGGGGAAACCCUGAUGGAGGUCCGUAGCGAUUCUGACGUGCAAAUCGAUCGUCGGAACUGGGUAUAGGGGCGAAAGACUAAUCGAACCAUCUAGUAGCUGGUUCCCU
rnacentral:rRNA from 1 species